GACGAACGCUGGCGGCGUGCUUAACACAUGCAAGUCGAACGGAAAGGCCCUGCUUUUGUGGGGUGCUCGAGUGGCGAACGGGUGAGUAACACGUGAGUAACCUGCCCUUGACUUUGGGAUAACUUCAGGAAACUGGGGCUAAUACCGGAUAGGAGCUCCUGCUGCAUGGUGGGGGUUGGAAAGUUUCGGCGGUUGGGGAUGGACUCGCGGCUUAUCCGCUUGUUGGGGGGGUAGUGGCUUACCAAGGCUUUGACGGGUAGCCGGCCUGAGAGGGUGACCGGCCACAUUGGGACUGAGAUACGGCCCAGACUCCUACGGGAGGCAGCAGUGGGGAAUAUUGCACAAUGGGCGGAAGCCUGAUGCAGCAACGCCGCGUGCGGGAUGACGGCCUUCGGGUUGUAAACCGCUUUCGCCUGUGACGAAGCGUGAGUGACGGUAAUGGGUAAAGAAGCACCGGCUAACUACGUG
rnacentral:rRNA from 1 species